ACACAUGCAGUCGAGCGGAUGAGUGGAGCUUGCUCCAUGAUUCAGCGGCGGACGGGUGAGUAAUGCCUAGGAAUCUGCCUGGUAGUGGGGGACAACGUUUCGAAAGGAACGCUAAUACCGCAUACGUCCUACGGGAGAAAGUGGGGGAUCUUCGGACCUCACGCUAUCAGAUGAGCCUAGGUCGGAUUAGCUAGUUGGUGAGGUAAAGGCUCACCAAGGCGACGAUCCGUAACUGGUCUGAGAGGAUGAUCAGUCACACUGGAACUGAGACACGGUCCAGACUCCUACGGGAGGCAGCAGUGGGGAAUAUUGGACAAUGGGCGAAAGCCUGAUCCAGCCAUGCCGCGUGUGUGAAGAAGGUCUUCGGAUUGUAAAGCACUUUAAGUUGGGAGGAAGGGCAGUAAGUUAAUACCUUGCUGUUUUGACGUUACCAACAGAAUAAGCACCGGCUAACUUCGUGCCAGCAGCGCGGGUAAUAA
rnacentral:rRNA from 1 species